rnacentral:sRNA from 1 species
CUUGGUCAUUUAGAGGAAGUAAAAGUCGUAACAAGGUUUCCGUAGGUGAACCUGCGGAAGGAUCAUUACCGAGUGUAGGGUUCCUAGCGAGCCCAACCUCCCACCCGUGUUUACUGUACCUUAGUUGCUUCGGCGGGCCCGCCAUUCAUGGCCGCCGGGGGCUCUCAGCCCCGGGCCCGCGCCCGCCGGAGACACCACGAACUCUGUCUGAUCUAGUGAAGUCUGAGUUGAUUGUAUCGCAAUCAGUUAAAACUUUCAACAAUGGAUCUCUUGGUUCCGGCAUCGAUGAAGAACGCAGCGAAAUGCGAUAACUAGUGUGAAUUGCAGAAUUCCGUGAAUCAUCGAGUCUUUGAACGCACAUUGCGCCCCCUGGUAUUCCGGGGGGCAUGCCUGUCCGAGCGUCAUUGCUGCCCAUCAAGCACGGCUUGUGUGUUGGGUCGUCGUCCCCUCUCCGGGGGGGACGGGCCCCAAAGGCAGCGGCGGCACCGCGUCCGAUCCUCGAGCGUAUGGGGCUUUGUCACCCGCUCUGUAGGCCCGGCCGGCGCUUGCCGAACGCAAAUCAAUCUUUUCCAGGUUGACCUCGGAUCAGGUAGGGAUACCCGCUGAACUUAAGCAUAUCAAUAAGCGGAGGAAAAGAAACCAACCGGGAUUGCCUCAGUAACGGCGAGUGAAGCGGCAAGAGCUCAAAUUUGAAAGCUGGCUCCUUCGGGGUCCGCAUUGUAAUUUGCAGAGGAUGCUUCGGGUGCGGCCCCUGUCUAAGUGCCCUGGAACGGGCCGUCAGAGAGGGUGAGAAUCCCGUCUGGGAUGGGGUGUCCGCGCCCGUGUGAAGCUCCUUCGACGAGUCGAGUUGUUUGGGAAU